GCUUUGUUGAAUUAAUAAUUUUCAGUUUCAAAUUGCUGAGUUUGAUUUAAACUGAAAUUUCCCUAACUUGCCCUAUGAUUACACACAAAAUCAAGGAGAAAAGACACGAAUUAGGGGGCAAAAUUACUUAGAAAGCAAUAGAGAAACACACAGCAAUCACCAGAAAACAAGAAGAGAAUGAAUAGCUAAUUUGGACACCACCCUCACCCUUCACUGCCAUCGCACUACCAUCACCAAUCAAGGAAGCUAAUAAGCCAAACACUACCAUUCCUUUUUCCAUUUUAGACUUUUUAUGAUAGGAAGUACAACGGGAACUAGAUACAAUCAACCCAAAUAGAAUUCCUUAAAUACAAGAAGUUCGAAUCUUUCAGCCAACGAGAUUCAAUCGCAAUACACAGACACAAUAGAAAAAGGCAAAUGAAAAUUUCCUGUUUCAAUAAACCUGAAACAUUUUAAAUCAAACUUUCCAGCCAUACUACUUUCUAGGGCAUUCAUCGUGCAUAAUCACUAACAACUCACGCCUACCACAAAUUCAACCAAACAGCCACUACUUGAAGCUAUGAACCUUGCAAAUAGAAAAUAAAUCCAAUCCUCAAGAAACAAACAACAAUUUUAUCAUCUCUGAACCACCAUCUACGUCAUUGCCAGGACUGAGUACAACCAAAUCCUUUCUCCACAAAAAACCUACACACAAACAAAGCGAAUCAAAGGAAGAAACGAAGUAAAAUAAAAAACAAGGAAUCAAACCAAAAGAAAGAAAAAAGAAAAAAAAAAGGAGCACCUCCAGCCGCGAUAGUGUAAAUGGUUCACGGUUCACGGUUCACGGUUCACGACGGUAAUUGAGUUUUAGGAGAUCUGUAAUGGUGGAAGUGUGAAGAUUAGUAAGGGAAAUAAUAUAAUGAAAACCUAGAAUGAUCGGACAGCGAAAAGGAAUGGAAACAGUGGAGGAAGACUGUAGUUUUUCGCUUUAGAUCAGGACCGGUUGAGGACGAUUUCCAAGAAAGCAACCUCAGAUUUGAGGCAAGAAGGCUGAGAGAAAGCGACACUAAAGCUUUGGGCUUGAAUGAACUCGACCGGCGGUUGCGUAUUGACUGGAAUUUGAAAAAUAGGAUUGAUGUUCAUUUAUUUCCUAUAGAGAGAGGGAGGAGAAUAAAAUUGGAGAGAAAAGCUGGGCAGAAGAAAUGAAAGAAGAAGAAAAUUUUUAGCUCUGAUCGCAGCAUGAACGUUUCGUUUCAAUUAAGUGAAAAAAAACCCUCGCCUCAACCAGGAUU
rnacentral:lncRNA from 1 species